rnacentral:rRNA from 1 species
UUCGCGCCCGCCGGGGACCCAAACCUUCUGAAUUUUUUUUAUGAGUAUCUUCUGAGUGGUAAAAAAAUGAAUCAAAACUUUCAACAACGGAUCUCUUGGUUCUGGCAUCGAUGAAGAACGCAGCGAAAUGCGAUAAGUAAUGUGAAUUGCAGAAUUCAGUGAAUCAUCGAAUCUUUGAACGCACAUUGCGCCCGUCAGUAUUCUGGCGGGCAUGCCUGUUCGAGCGUCAUUACGCCCCUCAAGUCCCCUGUGGACUUGGUGUUGGGGAUCGGCGAGCGCUGUCUUUUCAGCACGCCGUCCCCCAAAUUUAUUGGCGGUCUCGCCGUGGCCCUCCUCUGCGCAGUAGUAAAACACUCGCAACAGGAGCCCGGUGAGGUCCACUGCCGUAAAACCCCCCAACUUUUUAUAGUUGACCUCGAAUCAGGUAGGACUACCCGCUGAACUUAAGCAUAUCAAUAAGCGGAGGA